AACAACGUAUAAUUAAUAAUUUGAAUGCGCGAAUGAUAUAUAUAUAUAUAUACGAUAUUAUCAUAGUUUAGGUAUACAACUUUGUUCCCGUCGUUUUCCUAUAGAUGGCAUUAGCAUUUUUAGCACGUGUUCUUUCAUCUUGUUCCAUCUUGUCAACAUAACCUGAUAGUAGAAAUGUCAGAAAAUAAGCCGACUAGACGUCAUUUACGAGAGAUGUUACUUUAUUUUUUUAAUUCUAAAAUGACUGCAGCUGAGGCUCACCAAAAGAUCUCAGAUAUUUAUGGUGAGAAAGCUAUAAGUAAACAAUCAUGUUAUGAACGGUUUCAACGCUUCAAGAGUGGUGAUUUAUGCACAAAAACCCGGCAUGGUGGUGGAGGAUAAAAAGUUAUUAACAAUGACAAAUUGAAUCUUUUUCUCGAUAAAAACAAGUAUCGAAAUCAAACGGAGUUGGCAAAAUCAUUGGGAGUAAGCCAGCAAGCAAUUUCAAAACACCUAAACAAGCCGAGAAAUAAAAAAAAAUGAAGAAAAAAAAACUUAAGAGAAAAAGAAAAAUUAA